rnacentral:rRNA from 1 species
GAUGAACGCUGGCGGCGUGCCUAAUACAUGCAAGUCGAGCGAACAGACGAGGAGCUUGCUCCUCUGACGUUAGCGGCGGACGGGUGAGUAACACGUGGAUAACCUACCUAUAAGACUGGGAUAACUUCGGGAAACCGGAGCUAAUACCGGAUAAUAUAUUGAACCGCAUGGUUCAAUAGUGAAAGACGGUUUUGCUGUCACUUAUAGAUGGAUCCGCGCCGCAUUAGCUAGUUGGUAAGGUAACGGCUUACCAAGGCAACGAUGCGUAGCCGACCUGAGAGGGUGAUCGGCCACACUGGAACUGAGACACGGUCCAGACUCCUACGGGAGGCAGCAGUAGGGAAUCUUCCGCAAUGGGCGAAAGCCUGAAGGAGCAACGCCGCGUGAGUGAUGAAGGUCUUCGGAUCGUAAACCUCUGUUAUUAGGGAAGAACAAAUGUGUAAGUAACUAUGCACGUCUUGACGGUACGUAAUCAGAAAGCCACGCCUAACUCCGUG